CCUACGGGAGGCAGCAGUGAGGAAUAUUGGUCAAUGGGCGGACGCCUGAACCAGCCAAGUCGCGUGAGGGAAGACUGCCCUAUGGGUUGUAAACCUCUUUUGUCAGGGAGCAACGCCGGCUACGUGUAGCCGGAAUGAGAGAAACUGAAGAAAAAGCAUCGGCAAACUCCGUGCCAGCAGCAGCGGUAAUAGGGAGGAUGCGAGCGUUAUCCGGAUUGAUGGGGUUUAAAGGGGGCGUAGGCGGGAUGCCAGGUCAGCGGUAAAAGCGCGGGGCUCAACCUCGCUCCGCCGUUGAAACUGGCGUUCUUGAGUGGGCGAGAGGUAUGCGGAAUGCGUGGUGUAGCGGUGAAAUGCGUAGAUAUCACGCAGAACUCCGGUUGCGAAGGCAGCUUACCGGCGCCCAACUGACGCUGAGGCACGAAAGCGUGGGUAGCGAACAGGAUUAGAUACCCCGGUAGUC
rnacentral:rRNA from 1 species